UACGUAGGGGGCAAGCGUUGUCCGGAAUCAUUGGGCGUAAAGAGCGUGUAGGCGGCCAGAUAAGUCCGCUGUGAAAUCUCGAGGCUCAACUUCGAGCUGUCGGUGGAAACUGUCUGGCUAGAGUCCGGAAGAGGAGAGUGGAAUUCCUGGUGUAGCGGUGAAAUGCGCAGAUAUCAGGAAGAACACCCGUGGCGAAGGCGGCUCUCUGGGACGGUACUGACGCUGAGGUGCGAAAGCGUGGGGAGCAAACAGG
rnacentral:rRNA from 1 species